rnacentral:rRNA from 1 species
UACGAAGGGGGCUAGCGUUGUUCGGAAUCACUGGGCGUAAAGGGCGCGUAGGCGGCUGUUCAAGUCGGGGGUGAAAUCCUGUGGCUCAACCACAGAAUGGCCUUCGAUACUGGACGGCUAGAGACCGGAAGAGGUGAGUGGAACUGCGAGUGUAGAGGUGAAAUUCGUAGAUAUUCGCAAGAACACCAGUGGCGAAGGCGGACUCACUGGUCCGGUUCUGACGCUGAGGCGCGAAAGCGUGGGGAGCAAACAGG